CCUACGGGAGGCUGCAGUGAGGAAUAUUGGUCAAUGGUCGGGAGGCUGAACCAGCCAAGCCGCGUGAGGGAGGAAGGUACAGAGUAUCGUAAACCUCUUUUGUCAAGGGACAAAGGCGGGCACGUGUGCCCGGCUGAGGGUACCUGAAGAAAAAGCAUCGGCUAACUCCGUGCCAGCAGCCGCGAUAAUACGGAGGAUGCGAGCGUUAUCCGGAUUUAUUGGGUUUAAAGGGUGCGUAGGCGGGCUGUUAAGUCAGCGGUAAAAGCCCGGGGCUCAACCCCGGCCAGCCGUUGAAACUGGCUGUCUUGAGAUGUAGAGAGGUAUGCGGAAUGCGCGGUGUAGCGGUGAAAUGCAUAGAUAUUGCGCAGAACUCCGAUUGCGAAGGCAGCAUGCCGGCGGCAAACUGACGCUGAGGCACGAAAGCGUGGGUAUCGAACAGGAUUAGAUACCCUAGUAGUC
rnacentral:rRNA from 1 species